CUAAAAGUUGAUUUUCGACAGAUUGAUCCUAUGGCAGCUAUAUGAUACGAUUAACAGAUUUUAACCAAAUUUUCUCAGGAUGUCUAAUACCAGCCCAUAUGCAAAUUCUAGUAGUUUGGUUUUGAUAUCUCAACAAA